rnacentral:misc_RNA from 1 species
CAUGAAAUCCCCUGUUUCUCGCAAGCAUCAUAAGCAUGUCCCUGUAGAAGAACAUGUCUGGCCGAUACCAUAUUUCUUUACGCACUACAUUAUAUAACUUCAUGCAAAGAAAAACCUGGUCUUGCCUCUGAAACUCAGCAAGAACAGCGACAAGAUCAGACUUGAGCAAGCGAGAAACAUGGGAUUUCAUGAAUCGAUCAAGCCGGAGAGGGUCUGAUUGGAGUCGCUUGAGCUCCUUGGCCACAAUUAACCCUUCUUUGCCCAUCUCUUUCUUCCGCCUCCAUAUAGACAAGCUAGGCUUGGAAGCCAAAUUUGAAA